rnacentral:rRNA from 1 species
UACGGGGGGGGCAAGCGUUGUUCGGAAUUACUGGGCGUAAAGCGCACGUAGGCGGCUUUGUAAGUUAGAGGUGAAAGCCCGGGGCUCAACUCCGGAAUUGCCUUUAAGACUGCAUCGCUAGAAUUGUGGAGAGGUAAGUGGAAUUCCGAGUGUAGAGGUGAAAUUCGUAGAUAUUCGGAAGAACACCAGUGGCGAAGGCGACUUACUGGACACAUAUUGACGCUGAGGUGCGAAAGCGUGGGGAGCAAACGGG